rnacentral:piRNA from 1 species
UCGAAUAGUAAUAUUUUAUUAUCAACCGC